UGUGUGUAUGUAUGUGUGUAUGUGCAUGUGCUUGCACACACAGGUAAAUAUAUAUGUAUAUACACAUGU
rnacentral:miRNA from 1 species